rnacentral:rRNA from 1 species
GACGAACGCUGGCGGUGUGCUUAACACAUGCAAGUCGAACGGAAAGGCCCUGCUUUUGUGGGGUGCUCGAGUGGCGAACGGGUGAGUAACACGUGAGUAACCUGCCCUUGACUUUGGGAUAACUUCAGGAAACUGGGGCUAAUACCGGAUAGGAGCUCCUGCUGCAUGGUGGGGGUUGGAAAGUUUCGGCGGUUGGGGAUGGACUCGCGGCUUAUCAGCUUGUUGGUGGGGUAGUGGCUUACCAAGGCUUUGACGGGUAGCCGGCCUGAGAGGGUGACCGGCCACAUUGGGACUGAGAUACGGCCCAGACUCCUACGGGAGGCAGCAGUGGGGAAUAUUGCACAAUGGGCGGAAGCCUGAUGCAGCAACGCCGCGUGCGGGAUGACGGCCUUCGGGUGGUAAACCGCUUUCGCCUGUGACGAAGCGUGAGUGACGGUAAUGGGUAAAGAAGCACCGGCUAACUACGU